rnacentral:rRNA from 1 species
GCCGCGUGGAUGAAGAAGGUCUUCGGAUUGUAAAGUCCUUUUGGCGGGGACGAUGAUGACGGUACCCGCAGAAUAAGCUCCGGCUAACUUCGUGCCAGCAGCCGCGGUAAUACGAAGGGGGCUAGCGUUGCUCGGAAUGACUGGGCGUAAAGGGCGCGUAGGCGGACGGCACAGUCAGGCGUGAAAUUCCUGGGCUCAACCUGGGGACUGCGUCUGAGACGUGUUGUCUUGAGUAUGGAAGAGGGUUGUGGAAUUUCCAGUGUAGAGGUGAAAUUCGUAGAUAUUGGAAAGAACACCGGUGGCGAAGGCGGCAACCUGGUCCAUUACUGACGCUGAGGCGCGAAAGCGUGGGGAGCAAACAGGAUUAGAUACCCUGGUAGUCCACGCUGUAAACGAUGUGUGCUGGAUGUUGGGGYGCUUAGCACUUCAGUGUCGUAGCUAACGCGGUAAGCACACCGCCUGGGGAGUCGGCCGCAAGGUUGAAACUCAAAUGAAUUG